AUGAAAAAUCCAGUCGGGAGGGUUUCCUUGUAUAUGACCCACGGGUUCGGAAUAGUUUUCACUUUAAUGGAUCCUUCGGGUUACUCAAAUUCAUUUAGGGUUUGUAGGGGGUCCUGAUUUUGUUCAAAUUGUAAUGAUAAACCUUAAAUGGGAGUAUUCUUUCUUAGGGUUCCGUUCAGAUUGAAGAUCCGAACACGAAUUUCUGAAGAUUUGUCACCAUUGGUAUCUCUUUUUACCGAAGAUUCGAACACGAAUUACCGGGUUUCGUUAGCACGCUUAUCUUGACUUGAAUUCUUCGGACGGAGGAACGCUUCAUGUCAAACUUUCGGAAGGACUCAGCUGAGGAUUGCAGCUUAGAUUUACAACCUGUAAUUAAGUACAGACAAAAUGGUGUUGUCUUGUUACACAUCUAUUGUAUUUCUGAUGUGUUGGUAUGCUUUUAAUAUUGGGUUUUUGGGUGUGACAAGGUAUUGACUGUUCGAAUCUGGGUCAAUACAGAAGAACACCACCAAGCUGGUUGGAACUUUUCUUCUCCUGAUGUUGAAGAUAACACAUGUAAGUUCGCAAAGAACUGGUUGACUCCAUCUCAGAUUGAUGUCAUUCUCAGGGAUUCACAUGGUUUAAGAGUUUUGCAUAUUCUUAAGGCUCAUGUUGCAGAAUGCCGAUCUCCUGGACAGUGAAAUCAUAUAUGACAGAGAUUUUGACUAUGAUUAUUUUGGUUUCAAAACCCUUGAAAGAUCCUACCUGUUGAAGGUGCAAGGCAAGGUUGUAGAAGACCACAACAUAUGUUGAUGAGAGUUGCUGUUGGAAUCCGCAAAGACAAUAUUGAUUCUGUUCUCAAAACAUAUCAUCUAUGCCACAACGUUGGUUUACCCAUGCUUCUCCUACUCUUUUCAAUCUAGGGACACUCAGGCCUCAAUUGAGUAGCUGCUUCCUUGUGUGCAUGAAAGAGCACAGUAUUGAAGGAAUAUAUGGAACUUCGAAGGAGUAUGCUGUUAUUAGUAAAUCUGCUGAAGGAAUUGGAGUUUCUGUGCACAACAUCUGUACCACUGGUAGUUAUAUCUUUGGUACUAAUGGAACAUCUAUUGGAAUUGUUCCAAUGCUAUGAGUAUUCAAUGACACUGCCCGUUGUGUUGAUCAAGGAUGACGUAAUGUCUUCUGCCUUGAUAUACUUUCUUGUGUUAGCUUCCUGUACAGGUGAUAUUGCUGUCUACCUAGAGCCAUGGCAUGCCGCUGUUUUCGAGUUCCUAGACCUAAGGAAGAAUCAUGGAAACAUAUUGUUGGAUGAUUUAUUGAUUUCACCUGCCGUCAGAAUUUGUCCAAUAAGUGAUGUAAGUGGCAGUAACAUAGAAUAGGAAUUCCUAUAACGUCUUUAUAAUUGAACGUCUGGAUUCUGCCUUGCAGGAUACUGUGUUUUGGUUGUCUCUGAAUAUUUUGUAUAAACCUUCGAAAUACACACAAGAGCAAGCUGCAGUUAGAGCAUCCUCAGGAGAUUUCAGCCUGCGCAUUCUGUCAAUAGCGGGUGCCUCGCUGCCGGGUCUUCUGAAAUAUAGCUGACAGUGAUUCUUAAUGAGCUGGUCUGCACAAAGAUACAGCCUAAUUCUGAUCGAUAGAGUUCAUUUGAUUGAGAAAGACAAGCUUGUUGGGUUUGUUCUAGAUUGUCAGUUUGUGAGCAUGAUCAGAGUUGUGUUCAAAAAUAUGUUGGAUAAAGAGAAUUGAGAUGGGCCAGAUGAUGCUGUUGAUGUUUUCCUUACAUAUUUUGGUGUUGUUCUGGCACGGCUGCGCUUCAAAAAAAAAAAAAAGACUCAGCCUAACAAGCAAACCCUUAUUAGAGCCACGUGUGGGUUGGAUUUAGAGAGGAUUCGCUUUCAUGGUUCAGAUUCUCCUCAAUCUGCUGCCAGGGAGAUCCUUCUUCUUUCUUUGGGGAGGUGUCGUUACAGGGUGACAGUUGCUUUUCAGUAAAGCGACAACUUGUAACAUAGAGAAGCAGCUGUAAACUGGAGAGUGUGGACCAAGUUGAAGAAAAUCUUUUGCCAUGAGUCUCGAGUCCAACCAACCAUCUUCAGCAUCAGUUUUCAGUAGCUGGUUGUAUAUGAAUGAAUAAUUACUCUUUUGUACUUUAAUCAACACUAAUUGUUCCAUCUACGGGCUGUAUAAUUCUUCUAUGUACGGACAUCCAUUGUGUCUGUGUCCCGACAUCCAUCAUUUGAAUAUCCAUAAGGUGGAGCACCUUUUUUCGUACUUGAUAAAAUGACGACCGCUGCAUUACUGUUGAAA